rnacentral:rRNA from 1 species
UACGAGGGAUGCAAGCGUUAUCCGGAAUUAUUGGGCGUAAAGCGUUUGUAGGCGGGCGAGUGUGUUUAAUGUUAAAUCUUAAAGCUCAACUUUGAAAUUGCGUUAAAAACUGCUUGUCUUGAGUAUGGUAGGGGUAAAGGGAAUUCCCACGUGUUAGCGGCUCAAAUGCGUAGAUAUUGGGAAGAACACUAAACAGCGAAGGCACUUUACUAGGCUAAUACUGACGCUGAGAAACGAAAGGUAAGGUAGCGAAACGGAUUAGAUACCCGUGUAGUCUUACCCGUAAACUAUGGACACUAAACGGUAAAUUUUUAAUUUACUGUUAAAGCUAACGCGUUAAGUGUCCCGCCUGGGGAGUAUGCUUGCAAAAGUGAAACUCAAAGGAAUUGACGGGGGCCCGCACAAGCGGUGGAGCAUGUGGUUUAAUUCGACGGUACACGAAGAACCUUACCAGGAUUUGACAUGCUAGAUAGUUGCUUGAAAGAGUAACGUGCCGUAAGGAAUCUAGACACAGGUGGUGCAUGGCUGUCGUCAGUUCGUGUUGUGAAAUGUUGGGUUAAGUCCCGCAACGAACGCAACCCUUGUCUUUAGUUAUUUUCUAAAGAGACUGCCUGUAAUAAACAGGAGGAAGGUAAGGAUGAGGUCAAGUCAUCAUGCCCCUUAUGUCCUGGGCUACACACGUGCUACAAUGGGAAAGACAAUGAGCUGCAAAUCUGUAAAUUUAAGCAAAUCUCUUAAACUUUCUCGUAGUUCGGAUUGUGGGCUGCAACUCGCCCACAUGAAGUUGGAAUCGCUAGUAAUCGCCAGUCAGCUAUAUGGCGGUGAAUCCGUUCCCGGGCCU